rnacentral:rRNA from 1 species
AGCGUAGGCGGACAUUUAAGUCAGGGGUGAAAUCCCGGGGCUCAACCUCGGAAUUGCCUUUGAUACUGGGUGUCUUGAGUAUGAGAGAGGUGUGUGGAACUCCGAGCGUAGAGGUGAAAUUCGUAGAUAUUCGGAAGAACACCAGUGGCGAAGGCGGCUUACUGGUCCAUUACUGACGCUGAGGUGCGAAAGCGUGGGGAGCAAACA